rnacentral:lncRNA from 1 species
GUUUUCCGUGUAUGUGUAUUUGUAGUAAUGUAGUGUAUGCAGAUAUGUAGUAUAUAUAGUAGUGCAUGUGUGUGUAGUAGUUAUAUAUAGUAGUGCAUGUAUAGUAGUGGUGCAUAUAUAGUAGUAGUCUUUGUAGUGUGGUAAUGUGGGAGGGAUAGUGGGGGAGGUUGAUUAGGAGUGGGGGAUUGUGGGUGGUUUGGGUAGAUUUAGGAUUUGAC